rnacentral:rRNA from 1 species
GGCUUAGCUGUCUCCUUUUUCUAGCCAAUGAAAUUGAUCUUUCCGUGCAGAAGCGGGAAUAACAACAUAAGACGAGAAGACCCUAUGGAGCUUUAGACACUAAGACAGAUCACGUCAAACACCCCAGCUUAAUGGGCCGAACUAAGUGAGCCCUGCCCUAAUGUCUUUGGUUGGGGCGACCCUGGGGAGACAAAUAACCCCCAUGUGGAGUGGAAGCACCAUAUUUCCAGAACUAAGAGCUAACCGCUCUAAGGAACAGAAUUUCUGACCAUUUUAGAUCCGGCUACUGCCGAUCAGCGGACCGAGUUA